UACGUAGGGUGCGAGCGUUAAUCGGAAUUACUGGGCGUAAAGCGUGCGCAGGCGGCUUGCCAAGUCAGAUGUGAAAGCCCCGGGCUCAACCCGGGAACGGCGUUUGAAACUGGCAGGCUAGAGUUUGGCAGAGGGGGGUGGAAUUCCACGUGUAGCAGUGAAAUGCGUAGAGACCCGGAGGAACACCAGUGGCGAAGGCGGCUUCCUGGUCUGCAACUGACGCUGUGGCGCGAAAGCUAGGGGAGCAAACGGG
rnacentral:rRNA from 1 species